UUAAGGAAUUAGGCAAAUUUCCCCCGUACGUUCGCAAUAAGGGGGGCCUCUGGUGGUUAGCUUCGGCGAAGCUGCUGGAGGCCGCAGUGAAAUGGCUCUUCCAACUGUUUAACAAAAACACAGGUCUCUGCUAAGUCGAAAGACGAAGUAUAGGGGCUGACGCCUGCCCAGUGCUGGAAGGUUAAGGGGAGAGGUUAGCCGUAAGGCGAAGCUUUGAGCCGAAGCCCCAGUGAACGGCGGCCGUAACAAUAACGGUCCUAAGGUAGCGAAAUUCCUUGUCGGGUAAGUUCCGACCCGCACGAAUGGCGUAAUGAGAGGAGCACUGUCUCAACGAGGGACUCGGCGAACAUUGAAGGACGUGUGAAGAUACACGUGACCCGCAGCGGGACAAAAAGACCCCGUGAAGCUUUACUAUAACUUGCCAUUGAGUUAGGGCUAAAUCUGUGUAGCAUAGGUGGGAGGCUUUGAAGCUGGGACGCCAGUCUCGGUGGAGCCACCGUUGAAAUACCACCCUGAUUUAUUCUUGGCUCUAACCUGUAGCCGUUAUCCGGCAUGGGGACAGUGGCUGGUGGGUAGUUUGACUGGGGCGGUCGCCUCCGAAAGAGUAACAGAGGCGCCCAAAGGUUCCCUCAGGCUGAAUGGAAACCAGCCGUUGAGUGUAAAGGCACAAGGGAGCUUGACUGCAAGACAUACGCGUCGCGCAGGUACGAAAGUAGGGCUUAGUGAUCCCACGGUUCAGAGUGGAAUGGCCGUGGCUUACCGGAUAAAAGCUACUCCGGGGAUAACAGGGUAGUCUGGUCCAAGAGUUCAUAUCGACGACCAGGUUCGCCACCUCGAUGUCGGCUCAUCACAUCCUGGGGCUGGAUAAGGUCCCAAGGGUUGGGCUGUUCGCCCAUUAAAGUGGUACGUGAGCUGGGUUCAGACCGUCGUGAGACAGGUCGGUCUCUAUCCGCUGUGGGCGUAAGGGAUUUGAGAGAAGCUGUCCCUAGUACGAGAGGACCGGGAUGGACAGACCUCUAGUGUGCCAGUUGUUCCGCCAGGGGCAUUGCUGGGUAGCUACGUCUGGCAGAGAUAACCGCUGAAAGCAUCUAAGUGGGAAACUCGUCUCAAGACUAGAUCCCUCAUCCGUAUGGAGUAAGACCACUAGAAGACUACUAGUUUGAUAGGCGGCAGGUGUACGCAUAGUAAUAUGUUCAGCCAAGCCGUACUAAUGGUCGAGGGCUUACGUU
rnacentral:rRNA from 1 species